AACGCGAAGAACCUUACCCAGUCUUGACAUGCAGAUGACAGCUCUAGAAAUAGGGUCUUCCUUCGGGACAUCUGCACAGGUGCUGCAUGGCUGUCGUCAGCUCGUGCCGUGAGGUGUUGGGUUAAGUCCCGCAACGAGCGCAACCCUUAUCAUUAGUUGCCAACAUUUUAGGUGGGAACUCUAAUGAGACUGCCUGGGUUAACCAGGAGGAAGGUGAGGAUGACGUCAAGUCCGCAUGGCCCUUAUGACUGGGGCUACACACGUGCUACAAUGGUCGGUACAGAAGGCAGCGAAGCCGCGAGGUGAAGCAAAUCCAAAAAACCGAUCUCAGUUCAGAUUGUAGUCUGCAACUCGACUACAUGAAGACGGAAUUGCUAGUAAUGGCGAGUCAGCAACAUCGCCGUGAAUACGUUCCCGGGUCUUGUACACACCGGAGUGC
rnacentral:rRNA from 1 species